rnacentral:rRNA from 1 species
GAUGAACGCUGGCGGCGUGCCUAAUACAUGCAAGUCGAGCGAACCACUUCGGUGGUGAGCGGCGAACGGGUGAGUAACACGUAGGUGAUCUGCCCAUCAGACGGGGACAACGAUUGGAAACGAUCGCUAAUACCGGAUAGGACGAAAGUUUAAAGGUGCUUCUGGCACCGCUGAUGGAUGAGCCUGCGGCGCAUUAGCUAGUUGGUAGGGUAAAGGCCUACCAAGGCGACGAUGCGUAGCCGACCUGAGAGGGUGAACGGCCACACUGGGACUGAGACACGGCCCAGACUCCUACGGGAGGCAGCAGUAGGGAAUCUUCGGCAAUGGGCGAAAGCCUGGCCGAGCAACGCCGCGUGAAUGAUGAAGGCCUUCGGGUUGUAAAAUUCUGUUAUAAGGAAGAACGACUUUAGUAGG